rnacentral:rRNA from 1 species
CCUACGGGGGGCAGCAGUGGGGAAUAUUGGACAAUGGGGGCAACCCUGAUCCAGCCAUGCCGCGUGUGUGAAGAAGGCCCUCGGGUUGUAAAGCACUUUCAGUGAGGAAGAACGCCUGGUGGUUAAUACCCAUCAGGAAAGACAUCACUCACAGAAGAAGCACCGGCUAACUCCGUGCCAGCAGCCGCGGUAAUACGGAGGGUGCGAGCGUUAAUCGGAAUUACUGGGCGUAAAGCGCGCGUAGGUGGCUUGAUAAGCCGGUUGUGAAAGCCCCGGGCUCAACCUGGGAACGGCAUCCGGAACUGUCAAGCUAGAGUGCAGGAGAGGAAGGUAGAAUUCCCGGUGUAGCGGUGAAAUGCGUAGAGAUCGGGAGGAAUACCAGUGGCGAAGGCGGCCUUCUGGACCGACACUGACACUGAGGUGCGAAAGCGUGGGUAGCAAACAGGAUUAGAUACCCGUGUAGUC